rnacentral:rRNA from 1 species
AUUGAACGCUGGCGGCAGGCCUAACACAUGCAAGUCGAGCGGAUGAAGGGAGCUUGCUCCUGGAUUCAGCGGCGGACGGGUGAGUAAUGCCUAGGAAUCUGCCUGGUAGUGGGGGAUAACGUCCGGAAACGGGCGCUAAUACCGCAUACGUCCUGAGGGAGAAAGUGGGGGAUCUUCGGACCUCACGCUAUCAGGUGAGCCUAGGUCGGAUUAGCUAGUUGGUGGGGUAAAGGCCUACCAAGGCGACGAUCCGUAACUGGUCUGAGAGGAUGAUCAGUCACACUGGAACUGAGACACGGUCCAGACUCCUACGGGAGGCAGCAGUGGGGAAUAUUGGACAAAGGGCGAAAGCCUGAUCCAGCCAUGCCGCGUGUGUGAAGAAGGUCUUCGGAUUGUAAAGCACUUUAAGUUGGGAGGAAGGGCAGUAAGUUAAUACCUUGCUGUUUUGACGGUACCAACAGAAUAAGCACCGGCUAACUUCGUG